GUGGGGAAUAUUGGACAAUGGGCGAAAGCCUGAUCCAGCAACGCCGCGUGAGGGAUGACGGCCUUCGGGUUGUAAACCUCUUUCAGUACCGACGAAGCGCUCCUAGGAGUGGUGACGGUAGGUACAGAAGAAGGACCGGCCAACUACGUGCCAGCAGCCGCGGUAAUACGUAGGGUCCGAGCGUUGUCCGGAAUUAUUGGGCGUAAAGGGCUCGUAGGCGGUCUGUUGCGUCGGGAGUGAAAUCUUACAGCUUAACUGUGAACUUGCUUUCGAUACGGGCAGACUUGAGGCAUUCAGGGGAGAACGGAAUUCCUGGUGUAGAGGUGAAAUGCGCAGAUAUCAGGAGGAACACCGGUGGCGAAGGCGGUUCUCUGGGAAUGUCCUGACGCUGAGGAGCGAAAGUGUGGGGAGCGAACAGGAUUAGAAACCCUGGUAGUCC
rnacentral:rRNA from 1 species